ensembl:lncRNA
CCACUCCAGUACUCUUGACUGGAAAAUCCCAUGGACGGAGGAGCCUGGUAGGCUGCAGUCCAUGGGGUCGCAAAAAGUCGGACACGACUGAGCGACUUCACUUUCACUUUUCACUUUCCUGCAUUGGAGAAGGAAAUGGCAACCCACUCCAGUGUUCUUGCCUGGAGAAUCCCAGGGAUGGGGGAGCCUGGUGGGCUGCCAUCUAUGGGGUCGCACAGAGUCGGACACGACUGAAGCGACUUAGCAGCAGCAGCAGCAAAGAGAGCAACAGAAGGGCUUCUCUGGUGGCUCAGUGGUAAAGAAUUCACCUGCCGAUGCAAAAGAUGUAGGUUCGAUCCCUGAGUCAGGAAGAUCCCCUGGAGAAGGAAACGGCAACCCACUCCAGUAUUCUUGCCUGGGAAAUCCCAUGGACAGAGGAGCCUGGCAGGCUACAGUCCAUGGGGUCUCAAAAGAGCCAGACGUGACUAAACAAGAACAACAGCAAAGAGAGCCACAGGUCAUGAUGUCUGCAGGUCACACUCCACUCCCAGAGGCAGCCUGCAUCCAGUGUGUGAUGAGGAUCUGAAUGUGUCCUCUGAGCGCUGCUGGGACCCUCAUUGACUGGCACAGUGACAUGGGGCAGCCCUGCUGCAAGCUCCAGACACCCGCCACCCCCCACCCCCCAACUGAAGUUACACUGAAGAAAGCCUCUUGAAUAUGCAUGAGAAAGAAUGAACAAGGAUAUUUACAGCAGCAUUGUUUAUAAUAGCCGUAAAGACACCUGUUUCCCAAACAGACAUGCAGGUCUGUCCGACUCUUCAGGGUCGCUCCUCCCAUCCUCCAGGAUGGUUCCCUGUGUCCACAGUGGGAUGAUAUCCACGUCCAUCUUGAAAUAAAGCAGAAGAGUGGCAUGCAUGGGUUGUGUGAAGAUUCAAUCAAUGAACAUUUGAAGAGCAUCUAAACUAUAUCCUGGCAGACAGUUGAUGCCCUGACCCCUUAUGUGAAGGUAUUUAGAGGAAGACAUGGAUGUCACAGAAGGCAGAUGUCUACCGUCUUUCAAAUCUAUC